ACCGUGAAGUUUGCUGGCAGCAUAUACAUAUCUCUGGCCUUAUGAGGGCUCACCCUAGCGUCACCCAUAGCACCCUGCUUUUAUUGUCAGUGUUCCCUUAUAUGUUCACAGUCACUGGAAAUGAUCAACACAAUUAGAUUUGCUUCUUUUGCCCCAGAACAAAGCGGGUUUGUUGAUGUACUGAAUCGGACACAUUACUUUCUAGCUGAACACUCAGCUUCAUCCACUCCAGGACAGCUGAGCGUCUGGGAGGAGCAGUGUCAACAGUCCUAGCCAGCUGUUGCUGAAGGGCCCAACACCAAAUCCCAGCUGAAGAACAGCUUCUCAUCUUUUGAGACACAGCACAGGGUGAUGGGCAUGGAGCUCUUCCACACUCCCCACAGUCUGACUUAGCUCUCUCCGUUGUGCCCUCCUGGCACCCUGCUCGUAUUUUAUUGUGGCACCUAUAUCGCUGGAUCUCACUCACUGGUUUGCACUCCUGUAUCCCCUUUGAGGGAACAAAUCCCAUGCCUCUGCAAUCCCAGGAUCUGAUACUGAGAUAGACACUAAACAGAUAUUUAAAAAUUUUUGAUAAUCAAUGAAUGGACAAGGAGAAUAAAUAAUAUGAAAGAUGAAAUAAAGAAAUAAAAGUAUUAAUGAGAGUAUAAACAUAUCCAGAUUGGGCUGGGUGCGAUGGCUCAUGCCUAUAAUCCCAGCACUUUGGGAGGCUGAGGUGGGAGGAUCACUUGAGGUCAAGAGUUCGAGAGCAGCCUGGCCAACAUGGCGAAACCCUGUCUCUGCUAGAGAUACAAAAAUUAGCUGGGUGUGGUGGUGUGUGCUUGUAAUCCCAGCUACUUGGGAGGCUGAGGCAGGAGAAUCACUUGAACCUGGGAGGCGGAAGCUGCAGUGAGCUGAAAUUGCACCAGCCUGGGUGACACAGUGAGACUCUGUCUCAAAACAAAACAAAACAACAACAACAAAAAAAAAAAAAAAAGAAAGAAAGAAAAAAAGAAAUCCAGAUAGACUAUUAUGUCUUACUGUUCUUUUUCAUUCAUACCAAAUGGGAAAGAAUUUCCUGUCAAUGCUGGCAGUCUCUGGCUAUCAUGUGGCAGCAUCCGGGAAGGACCUUUGAGGCCACGCUCUUUCCCUCAGGGGACAGUGAGGUGCGUUGUCCAUGGCACCGAUGGGUUUUUCUCUGGGUAGCAGGAGGUUCCACAAUUCCCCAGCCCCAUUUCCUUUUAAGUCAUUCUGGUUAUCAUUUCAGUUGAAAGAAUUGGAGCUACUUUUCACUUGGGAGAACAUAAUAAAAAUCACUUAUUCAGUACUAAAUUAGGAUGGACAGCCUUUCUCUUGGGAAGAAAAGCAAUAACAGAUCACAAUAAUGAGAUUGUGCAACAAGCUUUGAAAAUGCUUAUACUACAUUUAUAUGAAACAGUAUUUGCUUACACUUCA
rnacentral:lncRNA from 1 species